rnacentral:tRNA from 1 species
CGGGACUUAGCUCAGUUGGCUAGAGCGGGCGGCUGUAGACCGCCAGGCCCCGCGUUCAAGUCGCGGAGUCCCGACCA